AUUGAACGCUGGCGGAAUGCUUUACACAUGCAAGUCGAACGGCAGCACGGACUUCGGUCUGGUGGCGAGUGGCGAACGGGUGAGUAAUGUAUCGGAACGUGCCCAGUCGUGGGGGAUAACGUAGUGAAAAUUACGCUAAUACCGCAUACGAUCUAUGGAUGAAAGCGGGGGAUCGCAAGACCUCGCGCGAUUGGAGCGGCCGAUAUCAGAUUAGGUAGUUGGUGGGGUAAAGGCUCACCAAGCCAACGAUCUGUAGCUGGUCUGAGAGGACGACCAGCCACACUGGAAAGGAGACACGGUACAGACUCCUACGGGAGGCAGCAGUGGGGAAUUUUGGACAAUGGACGCAAGUCUGAUCCAGCCAUUCCGCGUGCAGGAUGAAGGCCCUCGGGUUGUAAACUGCUUUUGUACGGAACGAAACGGCGAGCUCUAAUACAGUUUGCUAAUGACGGUACCGUAAGAAUAAGCACCGGCUAACUACGUGCCAGCCGCCGCGGUAA
rnacentral:rRNA from 1 species